rnacentral:rRNA from 1 species
GAUGAACGCUGGCGGCGUGCCUAAUACAUGCAAGUCGAGCGAACAGAUGAGGAGCUUGCUCCUCUGACGUUAGCGGCGGACGGGUGAGUAACACGUGUAUAACCUACCUAUAAGACUGGGAUAACUUCGGGAAACCGGAGCUAAUACCGGAUAAUAUAUUGAACCGCAUGGUUCAAUAGUGAAAGACGGCGUUUCUGUCACUUAUAGAUGGAUCCGCGCCGCAUUAGCUAGUUGGUAAGGUAACGGCUUAUCAAGGCAACGAUGCGUAGCCGACCUGAGAGGGUGGUCGGCCGCCCGGGAGCUGGGACGCGGUCCAGACGCCUACGGGAGGGAGCAGUAGGGAAUGUUCCGCAAUGGGCGGGAGCUUGACGGAGCAGCGCCGCGUGAGUGAUGGAGGUCUUCGGAGCGGAAAGCUCUGUUAUGGGGGGAGAACAAAUGUGGAAGGAGAUAUGGAGGUCUUGACGGUACCUAAUCAGAAAGCCACGGCUAACUACGUG